GACGAACGCUGGCGGCGUGCUUAACACAUGCAAGUCGAACGGAAAGGCCCUGCUUUUGUGGGGUGCUCGAGUGUCGAACGGGUGAGUAACACGUGAGUAACCUGCCCUUGACUUUGGGAUAACUUCAGGAAACUGUGGCUAAUACCGGAUAGGAGCUCCUGCUGCAUGGUGGGGGUUGGAAAGUUUCGGCGGUUGGGGAUGGACUCGCGGCUUAUCAGCUUGUUGGUGGGGUAGUGGCUUACCAAGGCUUUGACGGGUAGCCGGCCUGAGAGGGUGACCGGCCACAUUGGGACUGAGAUACGGCGCAGACUCCUACGGGAGGCAGCAGUGGGGAAUAUUGCACAAUGGGCGGAAGCCUGAUGCAGCAACGCCGCGUGCGGGAUGACGGACUUCGGGUUGUAAACCGCUUUCGCCUGUGACGAAGCGUGAGUGACGGUAAUGGGUAAAGAAGCACCGGCUAACUAGGUG
rnacentral:rRNA from 1 species